GGCGAGUUACCCAAGCGGCCAAAGGGAUCUGACUGUAAAUCAGACUGCUAAGCAUUCACUGGUUCGAAUCCAGUACUCGCCA
rnacentral:tRNA from 1 species